GAUGAACGCUGGCGGCGUGCCUAAUACAUGCAAGUCGAGCGAAUGGAUUAAGAGCUUGCUCUUAUGAAGUUAGCGGCGGACGGGUGAGUAACACGUGGGUAACCUGCCCAUAAGACUGGGAUAACUCCGGGAAACCGGGGCUAAUACCGAAUAACACUUUGAACCGCAUGGUUCGAAAUUGAAAGGCGGCUUCGGCGGUCACUUAUGGAUGGACCCGCGUCGACUUAGCUAGUUGGGGAGGUAACGGCCAACAAAGGCAACGAUGCGUGGCCGACCUGGGAGGGUGAUCGGCCACACGGGGACUGAGACACGGCCCAGACUCCUACGGGAGGCAGCAGUAGGGAAUUUUCCGCAAUGGACGAAAGUCUGACGGCGCAACGCCGCGUGAGUGAUGAAGUCUUUCGGGUCGUAAAACUCUGUUGUUAGGGAAAAACAAGUGCUAGUUGAAUAAGCUGGCACCAUGACGGUACCUAACCAGAAAGCCACGUCUAACCACGUGCCACCAGCCGCGGUAA
rnacentral:rRNA from 1 species